AUUGAACGCUGGCGGCAGGCCUAACACAUGCAAGUCGAACGGUAGCACAGAGAGCUUGCUCUCGGGUGACGAGUGGCGGACGGGUGAGUAAUGUCUGGGAAACUGCCUGAUGGAGGGGGAUAACUACUGGAAACGGUAGCUAAUACCGCAUAACGUCGCAAGACCAAAGAGGGGGACCUUCGGGACUCGUGCCAUCAGAUGUGCCAAGAUGGGAUUAGCUAGUAGGUGGGGUAACGGCUCACCUAGGCAACGAUCCCUAGCUGGUCUGAGAGGAUGACCAGCCACACUGGAACUGAGACACGGUCCAGACUCCUACGGGAGGCAGCAGUGGGGAAUAUUGCACAAUGGGCGCAAGCCUGAUGCAGCCAUGCCGCGUGUAUGAAGAAGGCCUUCGGGUUGUAAAGUACUUUCAGCGGGGAGGAAGGCGACACGGUUAAUAACCGUGUUGAUUGACGUUACCCGCAGAAGAAGCACCGGCCAACUACGUGCCAGCCGCCGCGGUAA
rnacentral:rRNA from 1 species